CAAAGGUAACAUUGGGAAAAUUAUAUUACAUAUCCCAAAGGUAACAUUGUGAAAAUUAUAUUACACAUCACAAAGGUAACUUUGUGAAAAU